CAACAUGCCAGGUGAGACUGUAGAACAACAUGCCAGGUGAGACUGAUUCUGUAGAACAACAUGCCAGGUGGGACUGUAGAACAACAUGCCAGGUGGGACUGUAGAACAACAUGCCAGGUGAGACUGUAGAACAACAUGCCAGGUGAGACUGUAGAACAACAUGCCAGGUGAGACUGUAGAACAACAUGCCAGGUGGGACUGUAGAACAACAUGCCAGGUGGGACUGUAGAACAACAUGCCAGGUGAGACUGUAGAACAACAUGCCAGGUGAGACUGUAGAACAACAUGCCAGGUGAGACUGAUUCUGUAGAACAACAUGCCAGGUGAGACUGAUUCUGUAUAACAACAUGCCAGGUGAGACUGUAGAACAACAUGCCAGGUGGGACUGAUUCUGUAUAACAACAUGCCAGGUGAUACUGAUUCUGUAGAACAACAUGCCAGGUGAGACUGUAGAACAACAUGCCAGGUGAGACUGUAGAACAACAUGCCAGGUGAGACUGAUUCUGUAGAACAACAUGCCAGGUGAGACUGAUUCUGUAGAACAACAUGCCAGAGUUGGGGUUUCAAAUCAAAUGUAUUUAUUUAUA